GAUCCUGGCUCAGGAUGUCGUAUCAAGGUAGCCGUAGAGUUUGCGGCUGAGUAACACGGGGGUGAUCUGCCCUGCACUUCGGGAUAAGCCUGGGAAACUGGGUCUAAUACCGGAUAUGACCUCCUGUUGCAUGACUUGUGGUGGAAAGAUUUAUCGGUGCAGGAUGGGCCCGCGGCCUAUCAGUUUGUUGGUGGGGUAAUGGCCUACCAAGGCGACGACGGGUAGCCGACCUGAGAGGGUGACCGGCCACACUGGGACUGAGACACGGCCCAUACUCCUACGGGAGGCAGCAGUGGGGAAUAUUGCACAAUGGGCGAAAGCCUGAUGCAGCGACGCCGCGUGAGGGAUGACGGCCUUCGGGUUGUAACCUCUUUCAGCAGGGACGAAGCGCAAGUGACGGUACCUGCAGAAGAAGCACCGGCUAACUACGUGCCAGCAGCCGCGGUAAUACGUAGGGUGCAAGCGUUGUCCGGAAUUACUGGGCGUAAAGAGUUCGUAGGCGGUUUGUCGCGUCGUUUGUGAAAACCAGCAGCUCAACUGCUGGCUUGCAGGCGAUACGGGCAGACUUGAGUACUGCAGGGGAGACUGGAAUUCCUGGUGUAGCGGUGAAAUGCGCAGAUAUCAGGAGGAACACCGGUGGCGAAGGCGGGUCUCUGGGCAGUAACUGACGCUGAGGAACGAAAGCGUGGGUAGCGAACAGGAUUAGAUACCCUGGUAGUCCACGCCGUAAACGGUGGGCGCUAGGUGUGGGUUCCUUCCACGGAAUCCGUGCCGUAGCUAACGCAUUAAGCGCCCCGCCUGGGGAGUACGGCCGCAAGGCUAAAACUCAAAGGAAUUGACGGGGGCCCGCACAAGCGGCGGAGCAUGUGGAUUAAUUCGAUGCAACGCGAAGAACCUUACCUGGGUUUGACAUAUACCGGAAAGCUGCAGAGAUGUGGCCCCCCUUGUGGUCGGUAUACAGGUGGUGCAUGGCUGUCGUCAGCUCGUGUCGUGAGAUGUUGGGUUAAGUCCCGCAACGAGCGCAACCCCUAUCUUAUGUUGCCAGCACGUUAUGGUGGGGACUCGUAAGAGACUGCCGGGGUCAACUCGGAGGAAGGUGGGGACGACGUCAAGUCAUCAUGCCCCUUAUGUCCAGGGCUUCACACAUGCUACAAUGGCCAGUACAGAGGGCUGCGAGACCGUGAGGUGGAGCGAAUCCCUUAAAGCUGGUCUCAGUUCGGAUCGGGGUCUGCAACUCGACCCCGUGAAGUCGGAGUCGCUAGUAAUCGCAGAUCAGCAACGCUGCGGUGAAUACGUUCCCGGGCCUUGGUCAGUUCCUGCCCCCACGACCUCGUAGCAAGGACCCGUAGAGUUUGAUCCGGCUCAGCCAGUCGUA
rnacentral:rRNA from 1 species